CUAAGGAAGUUGCUUUACUGAAUAAAGCAAUAAAAAUGGGAGCUACUGGUUCAGAUGUGAAAGAAAGGCAGUGCUGACCUCUCAAGGGAGGAAGAUUCCAAGACAUGGCUGAACUUAAGAAUGCAGGCAGGCAGGUGAUCAUCAUUCAAGAUGUGAGGGGACCAGGUGA